rnacentral:misc_RNA from 1 species
GUUUGUUCAAAUUUCAAUCGCUAUAUUUAAACAGAAUAGUAAUUGCAUUUCAGCAAUUUUUUGUGCUGACUAAUUUUUUGUUAUAAUUUUUUAAAGAUCAUUUUAAUCUUUAUUAAAUUAAUUUUAUAGUGAAUCUGUAUGAGUUGAUUUCACAUAAAUCUUCUAAAUUCUAAAUCAAUGGAAUGAUUCUCGAUUGAAUCAUCCAUUUUGAGAGUUAUAUAGAUCUUUUUAAAUUUUAUACCCGGGGGUUGCGUCCGCUGCUUUUGCUUU